rnacentral:lncRNA from 1 species
AUUUUCUGUAGUGUGGGAGAGCGGGCACCACAGGCUAGGAUUCACAGGUCCAUGAUACAGCAGCUCACCCUCUCAGCGUGUUGGAAGGGACAGACUCCCAGGCAGUCACCCGCAGGAAGCCUGCGAUCGGAUGCAAAGCCCAUGCCCUGCUGGACAGGGAGAAGCUAGGUAAAGGCUGGCUCCUUCUACUCUCCAUCUUUGCCUUCUACUCUCCGUCUUUGCCUCUACCAUGCCACUCCUUUUCCCUAGCUUAUAGCCGUCUCUCCACCGAAAUUCACCAUCACCUGGUCUUCCAGGAGCUUCUAUCUGUCGACAUUUCCCCAGCUAAAUGAGUCCCCACAACUGACUGGCACACCCUAUCGGUCAGGUCUUGGACUGAGCUUCAACUUGGCUGAGUCUGCUCCUCGCACAGUGCUCUAGAGGCCUCUGGAGAAUGCUGCAGCAGCCACCAGAGCCAUGACUAGACAACCUCUGCUCUCCGCUCAUCUGUGUGCAGCCAUCACAGUACCAGGCCCCGCUGAAAGUAACCGAAUAAGCAGACUUCCAAUCAGGCAGAACUGGGGGCUUCAGGGGACCCUGUCUACCUGAAAGGCUUGAAGAGGCUGCUUCCGGAAGAGUGGACCCAUGAGCUGAGUUCCAAAAGGUUGCUGUCCAGGCAGAGAGAAAGAUCUUGUUGAAGGCCCACCGGUGAGAGACUAUGGAUUCACUGGGACCAGCUGCAGGGGGAUGAAGCAAGCAGAACUCAGGCUACCCCGCUCAGCUCAGGCUAGCCCGUUCAUCAGUGGUCCAUUGACACCUGCAGGUUUUGCUGAGGAACCAGGAGCCUUCAAGUUCCAGCUGCACAUGUGCUAGAGGCAGAGGGCGGGUCCCCUUGCUCGACUUCUCCGAGUCUGAGUUCUGGUGUCUCCUCAGUAAAACGGGGGUGAUAAUCC